rnacentral:rRNA from 1 species
AACGAACGCUGGCGGCAUGCCUAACACAUGCAAGUCGAACGAACCCUUCGGGGUGAGUGGCGCACGGGUGCGUAACACGUGGGAACCUGCCCUUAGGUUCGGAAUAACACAGAGAAAUUUGUGCUAAUACCGGAUAAUGUCUUCGGACCAAAGAUUUAUCGCCUUUGGAUGGGCCCGCGUAGGAUUAGCUAGUUGGUGAGGUAAAGGCUCACCAAGGCGACGAUCCUUAGCUGGUCUUAGAGGAUGAUCAGCCACACUGGGACUGAGACACGGCCCAGACUCCUACGGGAGGCAGCAGUGGGGAAUAUUGGACAAUGGGCGAAAGCCUGAUCCAGCAAUGCCGCGUGAGUGAUGAAGGCCUUAGGGUUGUAAAGCUCUUUUACCUGGGAUGAUAAUGACAGUACCAGGAGAAUAAGCCCCGGCUAACUCCGUGCCAGCAGCCGCCGUAA